UGUUAUUAUCCGCAACACGCUUCGUCAGAUGACAGGAAUAGAGUUGUCAGCAACAUGCUUCGUCAAAAAGUACAAUACUUACUUUCAUUUACAAGCGUCAUCAUAAGUAACAUGUUUGUUGAUUGAGUCGAUAUGUGUAGUGUUAAAUACAUGGUAGUGCGUGUAAUGUUUUUUAAUGAAAAAUGGUCGGAGCUCUAUUAACGAAAACCCUAUGAAGAUUUAUUUUUGAAGUAUAGCUUAUUUAGUGACACUGUGACUGUAAUUUAGAAGUUUUUAAUACGCUUUUUUAAAUAAUUUCAAAAAAUUGAAAUUCAAUUAAAAAAUGAAAAAUAAAUAAUAGUUUAAAAAAACUAACAAAAUACGCUUUUAUAGAAAAACCAAAUAAAAAAUUGAAAAUGAAUUUGAAUUAAAAAUAGUGUAAGAAAAAAAAAGAUUUUAUUGUAAAAAACGCGUUACUACUUCACGGCAGAAAUAGGCGGGGUGGUAGUACCUACCCGUGCGGACUCACAAGAAGUCCUACCACCACCGUAUGUGAGGCGGUCCACGCUGCCGAGGACAGGCUCUGUGGUGCGAUAUAGUCCGCCGGAAGAUUCUGAAAUCCCACAGAAGACACGAUUUUUGGCAUUGAGGAUUUACGACACAAGGAGGAGAGGUUGAUCAGCUUGUUGGCUGUCCUCUCACAUGGAAAGUUAUAUAUUUCAAUAAAUGUCACAACGUCGCCAUCAACGCACCAAAAUGCCGCCACCCACCUUCAGACGUGAGGUCAAAAAUUCAAGUGCAAUAACACGAUUAUGUUACUAAUUUAUGUUGUACCUAUUCAUUUUGUCAUCAAUUUAUUUAUUAACCAAUUAAGUAAAAAAAUUACGAUUUUU